GACGAACGCUGGCGGCGUGCUUAACACAUGCAAGUCGAACGGUGAAGCGCCUUACUUUUUGGUGCGCGAGGAUGAGUGGCGAACUGGUGAGUAACACGUGAGUAACCUGCCCCCUUCUUCUGGAUAACCGCAUGAAAGUGUGGCUAAUACGGGAUAUUCUGGGUCUGUCGCAUGAUGGGUCUGGGAAAGAUAUUGUUUCGGUGGGGGCUGGGCCGACGUCCUAUCAGCUUGUUGGUGGGGUGAUGGGCUACCAGGGCGGUGACGGCUGGCCAGCCUGAGAGGGGCGGCGGGAACGCUGGGACGGAGACACGGCCAAGACUCCAACGGGGGACAACAGUGGGGAGUAGUGGACAAGGGGGGCAAGCCUAAUGCGGCGACGCCGCGAGAGGGAUAGGGGCCUUCGGGUUGAAAACCUCUUUCGCGGGUAAAACAGGCCUGCCUCGUUUGAGGGUGGGUUGACGGUAGCUGGUAAAGAGGCACCGGCUAACUACGUG
rnacentral:rRNA from 1 species